CCUCGGGGCGCAGCAGUGGGGAAUAUUGCGCAAUGGGCGAAAGCCUGACGCAGCGACGCCGCGUGAGGGAUGAAGGUCUUCGGAUCGUAAACCUCUGUCAGCAGGGAAGAACGGUCACUGUGCUAAUCAGCAGUGAAUUGACGGUACCUGCAAAGGAAGCACCGGCUAACUCCGUGCCAGCAGCCGCGGUAAUACGGAGGGUGCGAGCGUUAAUCGGAAUUACUGGGCGUAAAGCGCUCGCAGGCGGUAUGUCAAGUCUAGGGUGAAAUCCCCCCGCUCAAAGCGGGCACUGCCUCUGUAAAUGG
rnacentral:rRNA from 1 species